AGCGAACGCUGGCGGCAGGCCUAACACAUGCAAGUCGAGCGCCAUAGCAAUACGGAGCGGCAGACGGGAGAGUAACACGUGGGAACGUGCCCUUUGGUUCGGAACAACCCAGGGAAACUUGGGCUAAUACCGGAUAAGCCCUUACGGGGAAAGAUUUAUCGCCGAAGGAUCGGCCCGCGUCUGAUUAGCUAGUUGGUGGGGUAAUGGCCCACCAAGGCGACGAUCAGUAGCUGGUCUGAGAGGAUGAUCAGCCUCACUGGGACUGAGACACGGCCCAGACUCCUACGGGAGGCAGCAGUGGGGAAUAUUGGACAAUGGGCGAAAGCCUGAUCCAGCAAUGCCGCGUGAGUGAUGAAGGCCUUAGGGUUGUAAAGCUCUUUUACCAGGGAUGAUAAUGACAGUACCUGGAGAAUAAGCUCCGGCUAACUCCGUGCCAGCCGCCGCGGUAA
rnacentral:rRNA from 1 species